GCUUUUUUUUUUUUUUUUUUUUUUUUUUUUUUUGAGGGAGCAAGUGGCGGAUGCUGUUGUGUGCAAUUGUUUGAAGGUUUUUACUUUUUCCUAAGUGAGCCAAGAUCUCUGAUGCUUUCAGAGCACGUUAUGCUGUGAUGAGAUUCUAAUUUCAGUGAGUCAGUACCUCCAGGGCAGCUGGAGAAAGCAAUGAAAUUGUCUAUGCAAGGAACAAACAGCCUGACCCUACCAGAUCUAAUAGAGUCGUAGGGCAGACUUCAGCCACAGGACAGGAUUUUGUGUUGGGAGCUUAUGAAUGUCAGGGCUCAUGAAUACAGAGAAGUAUUACAGCCUGCAGACCACAGCCCACCUCUCUGGGCAAUCUUCGGGUGCUAUGUGGCAAUGUGGCGUCAUGUGUGUGAGUGUGUGUGUGUGUGCACUGGAACUUUCAGAGGAUGCUACAUGGGCAGCCUGACUUCCUCUCUGAGCCUCGUGGCCCCUGUCAGAUGUGAUUGCCACUGCUCUUUCAAAUUCAAAAUGUUAUCUGUGUAAAUAGCUUUGGUAUUUCUUUUCCAUGUCUUAGGUGAAGUUUUGUUCAUGUAACAACCAGGUACGAGGUGACCGAAUAAAGCUAUAAACAUACUGUUCAGUUGUCGUGUGCUGAAGAUGGAGAACCUGGGUCCUCCAUCUCUCCUCUCUCUCAUUAGAUGAGUAUCUUGUGCGUGUUUAGGGGGUCCUGCCGUUACUUCUUCAUUCCUGAUUCGCCUCUAAUUUUCUUUGUUUCUUUGGAAACCCCAGGAGGCGCCUACUAAGGAUCAAUUGUAAGAAUAUGUAUAUGGUGAUCUGGGUUUCCAAAAAUUACCCUAUAUAUAGUGAACUGAGAAGAAUCUGCCUGGAGAUUGGUUUUCGAACCACGUACCUUUAUGCCUCGUGAUUGUGAAACAUUGACUUUUGUAAACCCCCAAAUGAAAACCUGUUUAGUAAAGGGGAUAUAUUUUGUGUGUUUUGAAAUUUAGGUGCAAUGUCCCCUGGAAAAAGCUCAAGAACUGUAUAUGCUCAAUGGCAUUUUAAAUAAAAUACUAUAUAUGU
rnacentral:lncRNA from 1 species